AGAGUUUGAUCCUGGCUUAGGAUGAACGCUGGCGGUAUGCUUUACAUAUGCAAGUCGUACGAGAGUUUUUAACUCAAGUGGCGGACGGGUGAGUAACACGUAAGAAUUUGCCUUUAGGAGGGGGAUAACAACUGGAAACGGUUGCUAAUACCCCAUAUGCUUUCGAGUGAAAUGGAUUUUUCCGCCUAAAGAGAAGCUUGCGGCUGAUUAGCUUGUUGGUGAGGUAAUGGCUCACCAAGGCGACGAUCAGUAUCUGGUUUGAGAGGACGAUCAGACACACUGGAACUGAGACACGGUCCAGACUCCUACGGGAGGCAGCAGUGGGGAAUUUUCCGCAAUGGGCGAAAGCCUGAACCGGAGCAAUACCGCGUGAGGGAUGACGGCCUAUGGGUUGUAAACCUCUUUUUCAGGGAGGAAUAAAUGACGUGUACCUGAAGAAUAAGCAUCGGCUAACUCCGUGCCAGCCGCCGC
rnacentral:rRNA from 1 species